rnacentral:rRNA from 1 species
UACAGAGGUCUCAAGCGUUGUUCGGAUUCAUUGGGCGUAAAGGGUGCGUAGGCGGCGCGGUAAGUCGGGUGUGAAAUCUUGGAGCUUAACUCCGAAACUGCAUUCGAUACUGCCGUGCUUGAGGACUGGAGAGGAGACUGGAAUUUACGGUGUAGCGGUGAAAUGCGUAGAUAUCGUGAGGAACACCAGAGGCGAAGGCGGCUACCUGGACAAUUGCUGACGCUCAGGCACGAAAGCGUGGGGAGCAAACGGG